GAUGAACGCUGGCGGCGUGCCUAAUACAUGCAAGUCGAGCGAACGGACGAGAAGCUUGCUUCUCUGAUGUUAGCGGCGGACGGGUGAGUAACACGUGGAUAACCUACCUAUAAGACUGGGAUAACUUCGGGAAACCGUAGCUAAUACCGGAUAAUAUUUUGAACCGCAUGGUUCAAAAGUGAAAGACGGUCUUGCUGUCACUUAUAGAUGGAUCCGCGCUGCAUUAGCUAGUUGGUAAGGUAACGGCUUACCAAGGCAACGAUGCAUAGCCGACCUGAGAGGGUGAUCGGCCACACUGGAACUGAGACACGGUCCAGACUCCUACGGGAGGCAGCAGUAGGGAAUCUUCCGCAAUGGGCGAAAGCCUGACGGAGCAACGCCGCGUGAGUGAUGAAGGUCUUCGGAUCGUAAAACUCUGUUAUUAGGGAAGAACAUAUGUGUAAGUAACUGUGCACAUCUUGACGGUACCUAAUCAGAAAGCCACGGCUAACUACGUGCCAGCAGCCGCGGUAAUACGUAGGUGGCAAGCGUUAUCCGGAAUUAUUGGGCGUAAAGCGCGCGUAGGCGGUUUUUUAAGUCUGAUGUGAAAGCCCACGGCUCAACCGUGGAGGGUCAUUGGAAACUGGAAAACUUGAGUGCAGAAGAGGAAAGUGGAAUUCCAUGUGUAGCGGUGAAAUGCGCAGAGAUAUGGAGGAACACCAGUGGCGAAGGCGACUUUCUGGUCUGUAACUGACGCUGAUGUGCGAAAGCGUGGGGAUCAAACAGGAUUAGACACCCUGGUAGUCCACGCCGUAAACGAUGAGUGCUAAGUGUUAGGGGGUUUCCGCCCCUUAGUGCUGCAGCUAACGCAUUAAGCACUCCGCCUGGGGAGUACGACCGCAAGGUUGAAACUCAAAGGAAUUGACGGGGACCCGCACAAGCGGUGGAGCAUGUGGUUUAAUUCGAAGCAACGCGAAGAACCUUACCAAAUCUUGACAUCCUUUGACAACUCUAGAGAUAGAGCCUUCCCCUUCGGGGGACAAAGUGACAGGUGGUGCAUGGUUGUCGUCAGCUCGUGUCGUGAGAUGUUGGGUUAAGUCCCGCAACGAGCGCAACCCUUAAGCUUAGUUGCCAUCAUUAAGUUGGGCACUCUAAGUUGACUGCCGGUGACAAACCGGAGGAAGGUGGGGAUGACGUCAAAUCAUCAUGCCCCUUAUGAUUUGGGCUACACACGUGCUACAAUGGACAAUACAAAGGGCAGCGAAACCGCGAGGUCAAGCAAAUCCCAUAAAGUUGUUCUCAGUUCGGAUUGUAGUCUGCAACUCGACUACAUGAAGCUGGAAUCGCUAGUAAUCGUAGAUCAGCAUGCUACGGUGAAUACGUUCCCGGGUCU
rnacentral:rRNA from 1 species